GAAUAGUGUUAUUAGCAGCAAUACACCUUGACUUCAUUUUUUCAUUCAAUACCUAGGUGGUAGAUGCUAGAUUCUGAAAAUAAAAUACGAGGCUCAAGUGGUCUCUGUCCCCUCUCCCACCCAAUUCUAAAUUAUUAAAGCCAACAAAAUAAAUACAUUCUCUUGAGAGAAAUAAAUGAUUUAAG
rnacentral:ribozyme from 1 species